GUCCACGCCGUAAACGAUGAGUGCUAGGUGCUGUGGGUAUUGACCCCCGCGGUGCCGCAGCCAACGCGUUAAGCACUCCGCCUGGGGGAGUACGGCCGCAAGGCUAAAAACUCAAAGGAAUUGACGGGGGGCCCGCACAAGCGGUGGAGCAUGUGGUUCAAUUCGACGCAACGCGCAGAACCUUACCUGGGUUAAAUCCACCAGAAUCUUGUAGAGAUACAGGGGUGCCCUUCGGGGAACUGGUGAGAAGGUGCUGCAUGGCUGUCGU
rnacentral:rRNA from 1 species